rnacentral:rRNA from 1 species
GACAGAGGGUGCAAACGUUGUUCGGAAUUACUGGGCGUAAAGCGCGUGUAGGCUGCUUCGAAAGUCGGAUGUGAAAGCCCUGGGCUCAACCUAGGAAGUGCAUUCGAAACUUCGAGCUGGAGUCCUGGAGAGGAAGGCGGAAUUCUCGGUGUAGAGGUGAAAUUCGUAGAUAUCGAGAGGAACACCGGUGGCGAAGGCGGCCUUCUGGACAGUGACGUGACGCUGA